rnacentral:tRNA from 1 species
GUUUUAAUAAUUUAAUUAAAAAUUUUGGUCUUGUAAACCAAAAAUAAGGAAUGUAACCUUUUAAAACU